UUAAUCCCGCAAGGGAAAUGUAGUCGGUUCACCUAUUGCACUGGUCUAAGUCAGAUGGAAUGCUGCGCGAUUCAGAGUAAAAGCCUCGUAUGACCAACCGCAAGCUUACGAUGGACCGGGGAGAGUCGGAUACUUUGAGAGUAGUGUCUUAAGGGGGUGGUAUGUCCCAUCCAAGGCUAAAUAACGUGAGGAGACCGAUAGAUUACAAGUAGUGUGAACGAAAGAUGAAAAGAACUCUAAAACAGAGGGUGAAAAGUUCCUGAACUUGCUUAGGGUUAAGGCUAUUUAUAGUACCCGUCUUGAAACACGGAUUAGGGAGUUUAUCUGUAGUGCGAGUCUUUGCACGUUAACUGUAAAGGCGUAGAGAAAGCAACUGGCGUUUGCAUGGCUACUGAGCAUUACUGAUAGGACCCGAAAGGUGGUGAACUUUGCCUGCACAGGUUGAAGUCAGGGGAAACUCUGAUGGAGGACCGUACGGGUUAUUGAUGUGCAAAUCAUUUUUCUGAUGUAGGUAAAGGUGCGAAAGACUCAUCGAACCACCUAAUAGCUGGUUUCCUCCGAAGUUUCCCUCAGGAUAGCUGUAAUGCAUUUAGUUAAGGGGAGUAGAGAUAUGGGUAGAGGUGCAGGGAGCCUUCGGGUUCUCAACUUAUUUCCAAACUUCGAACCUCCUUGUUAGGCAUUUACCUAACUGGAAAUGCUUAAAUGAAUUAGCGUUACAAGUGGGCUCUGACCGGUAAGCGGUCAUGGCGAAAUGGGAUGAACCAUACGUCUGAAUAAGGUGCCGAAAUGUACUAUCACUGAUACCAUAAAGGGAGUCCAGUAUUUAGACAGCAGGUCGUG
rnacentral:ncRNA from 1 species